CUGGAAAGGGUAAUGCACCCAGUGUUCGGAUAGUGGUUGCUGGUGAUGCCAAGACUGGAAAGUCUAGUUUGAUCUUGACGGCCGCCACUGAUUCUUAUCCACCCAAUGUCCCUCCAGUGUUGCCUCCGACUAGGCUACCUGAUGAUAUCUACCCUGAUCGAGUACCUGUAACUAUUAUCGAUACGUCUUCAAGGUGCUCAUUGGAUUCCUUCCUCCACCUCUUUAUUGUGGCUAUUCAUUGUGCAUUUUCUACUUGUUAACCUGCAUAUAGAUUGUGUCAAUACUUCUGUUACAUUGAUGUUUUCUUUUAUUGUAUUUAUCCUUUAGUAAGGGAGCUGAUAUCUUCUACUUUUUGGUAAUUUCAUGAAUCUUCUAGAUGUCUUUGUUAUUAAUGCAAAUUGUACUUCAUAAAAGAAAAAUUAUCCUUUCAUGGGUAAGAGGUUACCUGAUGAUAUCUACCCUGAUCGAGUACCUGUAACUAUUAUCGAUACGUCUUCAAGGUGCUCAUUGGAUUCCUUCCUCCACCUCUUUAUUGUGGCUGGUCAUUGUGCAUUUGCUACUUGUUAACCUGCAUAUAGAUUGUGUCAAUACUUCUGUCACAUUGAUGUUUUCUUUUAUGGUAUUUAUCCUUUAGUAAGGGAGCUGAUAUCUUCUUCCUUUUUGUAAUUUCAUGAAUCUUCUGGAUAUCUUUGUUAUCAAUACAAAUCGUACUUCAUAAAAAGAAAAAUUAUCUUUUGAUGGGUAAGUAUCUCCCUGUACUCCAGAAAUCUAUGUUCGGAAAGAUCAAAGAUGUCUUCUUCCUUUCAUAGAACCGGCCCUUUAUUUAUCUGGUUUUCUUAUAUUAUACCUGCUAUCAAAUCUUUGCUUAUAGAAGUUUUGUGCAUGGAGAUGAAAUGGCUUCUGUUUUCCUGAGAUUAUUGUGAUACACAAUGUCGGGUACAUAUUGUUGUAUGUCUGGGAUACUUUGGGUUCCUCUAAAAGUAGCUAUGAAGUAUCUUGGUUCCGUUCUGAUUUUAAUCUUU
rnacentral:lncRNA from 1 species